GAUGAACGCUAGCGGCGUGCUUAACACAUGCAAGUCGAACGGAAAGGUCCCUGCUUGUAGGGGUACUCGAGUUGCGAACGGGUGAGUAGCACGUGGGUGAUCUGUACUGCACUUCGGGAGAAGCUUGGGAAACUGGGUCUAUUAGCGGAUAGGACUACUUGCUGGAUGGUGUGGUGGCGAGUUUUUCGGUGUGGGGUGAGCUCGGGGCCUAUCAGCUUGGUGGUGGGGUAAUGGCCUACCAAGGCGUCGACGGGCAGCCGGCCUGAGAGGGUGCACGGCCACAUUGGGACUGAGAUACGACCCAGACUCCUACGGGAGGCAGCAGUGGGGAAGAGUGCACAAUGGGCGCAAGCCUAGUGCAGCGAAGCCGCGUGGGGGGUGACGGCCUUCGGGUUGUAAACUACUUUCGCUAGAGACGAAGCGCAAGUGACGGUACCUGGAGAAGAAGCACCGGCUAACUACGUG
rnacentral:rRNA from 1 species